rnacentral:tRNA from 28 species
CGGGGCGUAGCGCAGUUUGGCUAGCGCGCCUGCCUUGGGAGCAGGAGGUCGGAGGUUCAAAUCCUCUCGCCCCGACCA